AUUCCCGUUGAUCCUGCGGGAGGCUACUGCUAUUGGAAUUCGAAUUAGACAUGCAAGUCAGGGGGUCUCGUGCCACCGGCAUAAGGCUCAGUAACACGUCGAUAAUCUGCCCUUAGAUUCGGAAUACCCUCGGGAAACUGAGGUUAAAACCGAAUAGUGAAUUGGUGCUGGAAUGCUCUUUUCAUCAAACGUAAGGUCUAAGGAUGAGUCGGCGGCUGAUUAGGCUGUUGGUGGGGUAAUGGCUCACCAAACCGAGAAUCAGUAGGGGAGAUGAGAGUCUUGGCCCCGAGAAGGACACUGAGAUACUGGUCCUAGCCCUAAGGGGUGCAGCAGUCACGAAAACUCUACAAUGCGCGAAAGCGUGAUAGGGGAAUUCCAAGUGCUUUACCAAUGGUAAGGCUUUUGCCAAGUGUAAGUAGCUUGGCGAAUAAGUGGUGGGUAAGACCGGUGCCAGCCGCCGCGGUAACCCCGGCGCCACAAGUGGUAGCCACAUUUAUUGGGUCUAAAGUGUUCGUAGCCGGUUUGGGUUAUUUUGUGUGAAAUCGUUGGGCUUAACUUAACGGUGUGCACAAAACACUCCCAAGCUUGAGACCGGGAGGGGAUAGAGGUAUUCUGGGGGGAGCGGUAAAAUGCUAUAAUCCCUAGAGGACCACCAGUGGCGAAGGCUUCUAUCCAGAACGGGUCUGACGGUGAGGAACGAAGGCCAGGGGAGCAAAUCGGAUUAGAUACCCGAGUAGUCCUGGCUGUAAACGCUGCGAGCUAGGUGGUGCAAAUUCUUUGAGGAUUUGCAACGCCUUAACGAAGGUGUUAAGCUCGCCACCUGGGGAGUAUAGUCGCAAGACCGAAACUUAAAGGAAUUGGCGGGGGCUCGCUACAAGGGGUGCGGCGUGCGGUUCAAUCUAACAAUACGCAGAGAAUCUCACCAGGAGCGACGGCAGAAUGAAGGUCAGAUUAAAGGUUUUACCUGACAAGCCGAGAGGUGGUGCAUGGCCGUCGUCAGUUCGUGCCGUAAGGUGUUGCGUUAAGUCGUACAACGAACGAGACCCAUGCUUACAUUUGCAAACAUGUUCUCAGGAAUGAAUGAGCACAAUGUAAGGACUGCCUUCGAAAGGAGGAGGAAGGUGUGGGCAACGGUAGGUCUGUAUGCCCCGAAUCUCCUGGGCUACACGCGCGCAACAAUGGUAGAGACAAUGGGAUGCAACUCCGAAAGGAGGAGCUAAUCCUCUAAACUCUAUUUUAGUCUAGAUUGAGGGUUGUAACUCACCCUCAUGACACUGGAAUCCCUAGUAAUCGGACCUCAUCACAGUCCGGUGAACACGUCCCCGAGCCUUGCACACACUGCCCGUCAAGCCAACCGAGCAGGAUUUAGGUGAGGAUUAAUUUCUUGAUUAAUUCGAAUCUAAGUUCAGUGAGGUGGGUUAAGUCGACACAAGGUAUCCGUAGGGGAACCUGCGGAUGGAUCACCUCCU
rnacentral:rRNA from 1 species